rnacentral:rRNA from 1 species
UACAGAGGGUGCAAGCGUUAAUCGGAAUUACUGGGCGUAAAGCGUGCGUAGUCGGUUAUCUAAGUCGGGUGUGAAAUCCCCGGGCUCAACCUGGGAAUUGCAUUCGAUACUGGAUAGCUAGAGUUCGGCAGAGGGAAGCGGAAUUUCGGGUGUAGCGGUAAAAUGCGUAGAUAUCCGAAGGAACAUCAGUGGCGAAAGCGGCUUCCUGGACCAGAACUGACGAUCAGGCACGAAAGCGUGGGGAGCAAACAGG